UACGUAGGGUGCGAGCGUUGUCCGGAAUUAUUGGGCGUAAAGAGCUUGUAGGCGGUCUGUCGCGUCUGCUGUGAAAAUCCGGGGCUCAACCCCGGACUUGCAGUGGGUACGGGCAGACUAGAGUGUGGUAGGGGAGACUGGAAUUCCUGGUGUAGCGGUGAAAUGCGCAGAUAUCAGGAGGAACACCGAUGGCGAAGGCAGGUCUCUGGGCCACUACUGACGCUGGAGAAGC
rnacentral:rRNA from 1 species